rnacentral:rRNA from 1 species
CCUACGGGAGGCAGCAGUCGGGAAUAUUGCGCAAUGGAGGAAACUCUGACGCAGUGACGCCGCGUAUAGGAAGAAGGUUUUCGGAUUGUAAACUAUUGUCGUUAGGGAAGAUAAAAGACUGUACCUAAGGAGGAAGCCCCGGCUAACUAUGUGCCAGCAGCCGCGGUAAUACAUAGGGGGCAAGCGUUAUCCGGAAUUAUUGGGUGUAAAGGGUGCGUAGAUGGAAGAACAAGUUGGUUGUGAAAUCCCUCGGCUCAACUGAGGAACUGCAACCAAAACUAUUCUCCUUGAGUGAAGUAGAGGUUGGCGGAAUUCCGAGUGUAGCGGUGAAAUGCGUAGAUAUUCGGAGGAACACCGGUGGCGAAGGCGGCCAACUGGGCUUUAACUGACGCUGAGGCUCGAAAGUGUGGGGAGCAAACAGGAUUAGAUACCCCUGUAGUC